rnacentral:rRNA from 1 species
GUGCAGCAGGCGCGAAACCUCCGCAAUGCUCGAAAGAGCGACGGGGGACUCCAAGUGCCUACGCUCAGCGUAGGCUGUUCCCGAGCCUAAAAAGUCUCGGGGAGUAAGGGCUGGGUAAGACGGGUGCCAGCCGCCGCGGUAAUACCCGCAGCCCGAGUGGUGGCCGCUAUUAUUGGGCCUAAAGCGUCCGUAGCCGGCUCGGUAAAUGCCUGGGUAAAUCGUCUGGCCCAACCAGACGAAUUCCGGGUAGACUGCCGGGCUAGGGGACCGGAGGAGGGAGAGGGGUACUCCAGGGGUAGGGGUGAAAAUUUCCUUUCCAUUAACGCUUUGCGCGAAGCGGAAAGGGUUAUCACAAUCCUGUAAUCCCUGGAGGACCACCCGUGGCGAAGGCGCUCUCCUAAGACGGGUCCGACGGUGAGGGACGAAAGCCAGGGGAGCAAACCGGAUUAGAUA